GAUACAAAUUCGAUUUCCCAUUUCUUAAGACUAACGGAAUUGUGACAAUAGAUGAUAACCGUGUUGGACCGUUGUACAAACAUGUGUUUUCUCCAGAGCUCGGCCCAUCUCUUUCUUUCAUUGGCUUAAACAAUUUUGGUAUCUCAUGUCGAAUAAUUGAGUUACAAGCGAAGUGGAUAGCGAAAAUCUUGUCGGGUUUCGCAGUUUUGCCUUCAAAAGAGGAGAUGAUGGAAGAUGUUAAAGAAUAUUACAAAAGAAUGGAAGAAAGUGGGAUCCCCAAGCACCAUACCCAUCGCCUCCCAUGGAACAAGAGCGAUUAUAUAGAUUGGCUUGCUACCGAAGUCGGGGUACCACCAAUGGAAGAUAGAUUGAAGCAGAUGUUUUAUGA